rnacentral:rRNA from 1 species
AACGCGAAGAACCUUACCAGGUCUUGACAUCCAACUAACGAAGCAGAGAUGCAUUAGGUGCCCUUCGGGGAAAGUUGAGACAGGUGGUGCAUGGUUGUCGUCAGCUCGUGUUGUGAGAUGUUGGGUUAAGUCCCGCAACGAGCGCAACCCUUAUUGCUAGUUGCUACGUAAGAGCACUCUAGCGAGACUGCCGUUGAUAAAACGGAGGAAGGUGGGGAUGACGUCAAAUCAUCAUGCCCCUUAUGACCUGGGCUACACACGUACUACAAUGGCUGUUAAUAGAGGGAAGCAAUACAGUGAUGUGGAGCAAAACCCCAAAAACAGUCUUAGUUCGGACUGCAGGCUGCAACUCGCCUGCACGAAGUUGGAAUUGCUAGUAAUCGCAGAUCAGCAUGCUGCGGUGAAUACGUUCCCGGGCCUUGUACACACCG